UAUAGUCAGGGGUGCUGGUGAAGAAUAGGGGGUCUGGUGCAUAGUCAGGGGUGCUGGUGAAGAAUAGGGGUGCUGGUGAAGAAUUGAGGGUCUGGUGCAUAGUCAGGGGUGCUGGUGAAGAAUUGGGGGUCUGGUGCAUAGUCAGGGGUGCUGGUGAAGAAUUGGGGGUCUGGUGGAUAGUCAGGGGUGCUGGUGAAGAAUAGGGUGUAUAGUGUGGGUGGUUGUAGAUGGUGGCACUGUGCUCAGGGUCAUUGCUGGAUCAGCUGUCCCUAUAGCUCUAGGCCUGGCCAUGGAGGCUGGUGGGUGUGGCAUAGUCAGGGUGGUGGGUGCCAUAGGCACACCAUUGGCUUCUCCUCCUGCCUGAUGCUUCCAUAUAGACCUUUAAAGAUCCUGCAGGUGGAUUUGGUGGUCUAGGGAGGCUUCACCACUGAGGACCACACCCAAUGAAGAAGACACCAUAGAGGAAAGAUGACAUCUUGCUCUUUCAGGAAAUAAUGGCUUCCAAAGAACACCACUAGGGGUCACCAUACCAUCCAGAACAAAAUCCUGUCUGGCUGCAGCAGCAUCUUUUGUCUCUGCCUGUGCUUCAGCUUGGACAAAGUGCAGUAAGUGUGGCUGGGACUAGCACUUCUCUGUCCUAUCAGACUGCAGCAUGCAAAGAAGGAAGGAGGGGUUUAGAGCAGCCUGCAGUGAUUGGAUGAAAACACCCAGUACUCAGGGAGGAAGAUGAGUCAUGCAGGGACAUGGAGUCAUCUUCAUUUUGGCUCACCAGCAACAGUUCUUCAGUGGCAAGCUUUAUGUUCAUGCUCAAUGCUAAAGCUGCCAGUUGAAGAACUGUUGAAGUUGGCUAUUAAUCCGCUGAGGUUCUCUGAAGACAUUGGAAGAACAGGAGCAGUCUGUGGGCUUGUGUUAGGCCUUUAUAUUGUGUGUCCUGUGUCUCAAAGUACUUACAUUCUAAACCUUUCAAUAUGCCUGUGUCUUCAUGUGGACCACGGAAAGAGGUCUGACUCUUCUUAAUAAAAAGAUAUUAAAAAAAAAAGUGUGAAUCCUGCUCCGUAUGAUAUGUUGUGUAAUUGGAUUAUUAAGCAUGUGGCCACCUUGAGGUUAAAGCUGAUAAAAAAAUAUUUUUUUUAUACAGACACUAGUAAAGCUAUCGGAAGUUAAAGCAUAAAUAGGCAAAGAGGUACUCUGGGGAACUAAACCCAUAGCCCAUCCUUUCCCUCUCACAGAUCCUGCUUGUCUUUGUAUAAGCCUCUCACUGAGACUAGCCCCCACCCUCCUGCAAGAUAAAUGCCAUGUGUUUUCUGGCUUCACAGGCAUUCCGCCUCUCCCCCUCUCUGUGUGAGGAGCUUGCCUGCAGAGAAGCCCAGUGAAGAUUCUCAGUCACAACUUAGCACAGAACGCUGCUCUUUUCCUGCUGGAGAUCUAACCACUGACUGCUACCAUUUAGAGCAUAGCAUGAUUUAUUGCUGGUUGCGGCUCACUGUGUUUACAACAACACAGCAUGCACACAGAUAGUAAAAGCAAUUGGCUGGCAGCCAUUACACAGAGCUGCACUGACUUCUGGCAGUUGUCUGGGCUGCAAGCAAGGAAAAAGAAUAUUUAGGAGACAACAGGGGCCACAGGAGCUGGCCAUAUCACAUGGGUAACUACAGAGGACACAGAAGAGUAUUGUGAUGGCUUUGGGGCAUUCUUAUUUUUAUUAACUUCCCCAACACACACCUUUUAAGCCACUGCCAGCUUAACGCACAUGGACACAAUAGCCCAGAUCUAUGUGAGAUCAAAAACUGUCUGACCAAUAUCAACCAGACACUAUUUGGCCUCUGGGUUAAUGUGCCAGAAUUUUGACAAAAUUUGCACAAAAAUGUCUUACAUGACUUACACCACAUUGGGGGAUAUUUAUCAAAACCAGUGCAAAGGAAAAGUUGCCCAUAUCAACCAAUCAGAUCGCUUUUUUCAUUUUGCAGUGGCCUUGUUAAAAAUGAAAGAAGCAAGCUGAUUAGUUACUAUGGGCACCUUUUUCUCUGGACAGGUUUUAAUAAUUCUCCCCCAUUGUUUUAAUGGGCUCCAGAAUUCUCCUUUUUUUUAAUGGCAGUAAAGUGUCACAUGGGAAUGAUAUGGCCACAAGUUCCCACCUGAGCUGUCAGUUUAAAGGGAACCAAUCAUCAGAUUUUACCCUAUAUAACACUUGGCAAAGCGUUAUAUAGGGUAAAAUCUUUAUUUUCACCAUUCCCGGGGGAUGCUCCUGCCCCUAGGAAU